UGCCUCGAGUGACGCAGGUCUUCGCGUCCUUCUUUCGCGACUAUGCAACGUUUUUUUUCUUUUCUCUUCAAACGGCGAAUGACCACUUGGCGCGAAUUGACGAUCCUCGAUAUCUUGGACUGGUUAGCUAUUCGCAGGAGCAGGAACGUGACUCGUGAGAAAUGUCCAUAGCUAACGUGACGUAACGGUAAGUGUGGGUAUCCGUUGUUCUUGGAAUAAUAAAAAGUUGCACACGUUUCAGGGGGCUAUCGUUCUCGAAACUUCGGCAGGUCCUAGAGCUCUAAACGCGGCCCUGCUAAUUUUUGGGACGCCGCAGGGAAAUUUCUCGGAAUUUCUACAAUUAGGACUUUGAGGUAGCGAGAGGCGGUUGGGUCAGUUGCUCACCUUUCUUGCGAGGAUUUCUCCGAGGUUCUUCAAGGUCGAAAUCACUCUCUCCGUUUGGCAGCACCUUGACGACUGGGAAAAUGAGGGACCCCCUCCUACAGUUUACCAAAAGUUAACCCGAGCGGUACUUUCCCUUCUACGAAAUCGGACAUCUGACUUUUUCACCCGGAAAAAGAAUUCACGGUCAUCACAAGAAAUUUCACUUGCCGCAACAACUGGGAAUACUUGUUAUAUUGAGAAG